rnacentral:rRNA from 1 species
AAAUGCGGAAGAGAUAAGUGCUGAAAGCAUCUAAGCACGAAACUUGCCCCGAGAUGAGUUCUCCCUGACUCCUUGAGAGUCCUGAAGGAACGUUGAAGACGACGACGUUGAUAGGCCGGGUGUGUAAGCGCAGCGAUGCGUUGAGCUAACCGGUACUAAUGAACCGUGAGGCUUAACCUUACAACGCCGAAGCUGUU